UCAAGCGACUAAGUGUAUGUGGUGGAUGCCUUGGCGAUCACAGGCGAUGAAGGACGUGACAGCCUGCGAAAAGCUGUGGGGAGUUGGCAAAUAAGCUUUGAUCCACAGAUGUCCGAAUGAGGGAACUCACCUGCUUUGCAGGUAUCCCAUCCUGAAUAUAUAGGGAUGGGAGGCGAACGAAGCGAACUGAAACAUCUAAGUAGCUUCAGGAAAAGAAAUCAACCGAGAUUCCGAAAGUAGCGGCGAGCGAAAUCGGAUCAGCCCAGCACUCGAUAGCAGCCAACUUACGGGAACGGUCUGGAAAGUCCGGCCAUAGAGGGUGAUAGCCCCUUACUGGAAAAGGCAGCUGUGGUACUAAGUGUGCGAUAAGUAGAGCGGGACACGUGACAUCCUGCUCGAAGAUGGGGGGACCAUCCUCCAAGGCUAAAUACUCGUGAUCGACCGAUAGCGUACCAGUACUGUGAAGGAAAGGUUAAAAGAACCCCGGGAGGGGAGUGAAAUAGAUCCUGAAACCGCAUACAUACAAACAGUAGGAGCCUCGUUAAGGGGUGACUGCGUACCUUUUGCAUAAUGGGUCAGCGACUUACGUUUAAUGGCGAGCUUAACCGUAUAGGGGAGGCGCAGCGAAAGCGAGUUCGAACAGAGCGUUCAGUCGUUAGGCGUAGACCCGAAACCAGAUGAUCUAUCCAUGGCCAGGUUGAAGGUGUGGUAACACACACUGGAGGACCGAACCGACUAGUGUUGCAAAAUUAGCGGAUGAGCUGUGGAUAGGGGUGAAAGGCUAAACAAAUCUGGAGAUAGCUGGUUCUCCCCGAAAACUAUUGAGGUAGUGCCUCGUGUAUGACUCCAGGGGGUAGAGCACUGUUAUGGCUAGGGGGACAUGGCGUCUUACCAAACCAUGGCAAACUCCGAAUACUUGGAAGUUUGAGCACGGGAGACAGAGCACCGGGUGCUAACGUCCGGACUCAAGAGGGAAACAACCCAGACCGCCGGCUAAGGUCCCUAAUAUUGACUAAGUGGAAAACGAAGUGGAAAGGCUAAGACAGUCAGGAAGUUGGCUUAGAAGCAGCCAUCCUUCAAAGAAAGCGUAAUAGCUCACUGAUCGAGUCUUUCUGCGCGGAAGAUGUAACGGGGCUAAGUCAAUAACCGAAGCCGCGGAUUCACACUUGUGUGUGAGUGGUAGGGGAGCGUUCUGUAAGCCUGCGAAGGUGACUCGUAAGGGUUGCUGGAGGUAUCAGAAGUGCGAAUGCUGACAUGAGUAACGUUAAAGCGGGUGAAAAGCCCGCUCGCCGUAAGCCCAAGGUUUCCUGCUCUACGUUCAUCGGAGCAGGGUGAGUCGGCCCCUAAGGUGAGGCUGAGAAGCGUAACUGAUGGGAACAAGGUUAAUAUUCCUUGACCACCGCUGAAUGCGAAGGGGGGACGGAGUAUUGAAGAUCAUCCGGGUGUUGGAUAUCCCGGUUUGCGAGCGUAGGAGGCUGACAGGCAAAUCCGUCAGCGGAUCUCCGAGGCAAAGCAUCGAGCUCUCUUUUGAGCGAAGUGAUUGGAUGUGCUUCCAGGAAAAGCCUCUAAGCUCCAGUUCAGCGGGACCGUACCGCAAACCGACACUGGUGGGCGAGCUGAAUAUGCUCAGGCGCUUGAGAGAACUCAGGAGAAGGAACUCGGCAAAUUGACACCGUAACUUCGGGAUAAGGUGUGCCUUUGUAGCGUGGAGGGAGAAACACCCCGAGCGCGAAGAGGUCUCAGAUAAUCGGUGGCUGCGACUGUUUAUUAAAAACACAGCACUCUGCAAAGACGAAAGUCGACGUAUAGGGUGUGAUGCCUGCCCGGUGCUGGAAGAUUAAUUGAUGGGGUGCAAGCUCCUGAUCGAAGUCCCAGUAAACGGCGGCCGUAACUAUAACGGUCCUAAGGUAGCGAAAUUCCUUGUCGGGCAAGUUCCGACCUGCACGAAUGGCAUAACGAUGGCCACACUGUCUCCUCCUGAGACUCAGUGAAGUUGAAGUGUUUGUGAUGAUGCAAU
rnacentral:rRNA from 1 species